GUGGGGAAUAUUGGACAAUGGGGGGAACCCUGAUCCAGCCAUGCCGCGUGUGUGAAGAAGGCCUUAUGGUUGUAAAGCACUUUAAGCGAGGAGGAGGCUCCUGUAGUUAAUACCUACAGAGAGUGGACGUUACUCGCAGAAUAAGCACCGGCUAACUCUGUGCCAGCAGCCGCGGUAAUACAGAGGGUGCGAGCGUUAAUCGGAUUUACUGGGCGUAAAGCGUGCGUAGGCGGCUUUUUAAGUCGGAUGUGAAAUCCCCGAGCUUAACUUGGGAAUUGCAUUCGAUACUGGGAAGCUAGAGUAUGGGAGAGGAUGGUAGAAUUCCAGGUGUAGCGGUGAAAUGCGUAGAGAUCUGGAGGAAUACCGAUGGCGAAGGCAGCCAUCUGGCCUAAUACUGACGCUGAGGUACGAAAGCAUGGGGAGCAAACAGGA
rnacentral:rRNA from 1 species